UACGAAGGGGGCUAGCGUUGCUCGGAAUCACUGGGCGUAAAGGGCGCGUAGGCGGCCAUUCAAGUCGGGGGUGAAAGCCUGUGGCUCAACCACAGAAUUGCCUUCGAUACUGUUUGGCUUGAGUUUGGUAGAGGUUGGUGGAACUGCGAGUGUAGAGGUGAAAUUCGUAGAUAUUCGCAAGAACACCAGUGGCGAAGGCGGCCAACUGGACCAAUACUGACGCUGAGG
rnacentral:rRNA from 1 species